rnacentral:rRNA from 1 species
UACGUAGGGUGCGAGCGUUGCCCGGAUUUAUUGGGCGUAAAGGGCGCGUAGGCGGCUCUGCACGUUCGUUGUGAAAUCCCCGGGCUCAACCUGGGAACUGCAUUUGUGACUGCAUCGCUGGAGUGCGGCAGAGGGGGAUGGAAUUCCGCGUGUAGCAGUGAAAUGCGUAGAUAUGCGGAGGAACACCGAUGGCGAAGGCAAUCCCCUGGGCCUGCGCUGACGCUCAUGCACGAAAGCGUGGGGAGCAAACAGG